AUCUAGCUGAGGAAUCCUAAAUAGGACGAGAUGCACGUCCCGGAU
rnacentral:hammerhead_ribozyme from 1 species